rnacentral:rRNA from 1 species
CCUACGGGGGGCAGCAGUGAGGAAUAUUGGUCAAUGGGCGCAAGCCUGAACCAGCCAUCCCGCGUGAAGGAAGAAGGCGCUAUGCGUCGUAAACUUCUUUUCCGGAGGAAUAAAAUCCUGAACGUGUUCGGGACUGAAGGUACUCCGGGAAUAAGCAUCGGCUAACUCCGUGCCAGCAGCCGCGGUAAUACGGAGGAUGCAAGCGUUAUCCGGAUUCAUUGGGUUUAAAGGGUGCGUAGGCGGAUUGAUAAGUCAGUGGUGAAAACCUGCAGCUUAACUGUAGACCUGCCAUUGAUACUGUUAGUCUUGAGUAUGGUCAAGGUAGGCGGAAUGUGUAAUGUAGCGGUGAAAUGCUUAGAUAUUACACAGAACACCAAUUGCGAAGGCAGCUUACUGGGCCAUUACUGACGCUGAUGCACGAAAGCGUGGGGAGCGAACAGGCUUAGAUACCCCGGUAGUC